GUCGGCGUGUCGGAAUUGGCAGACGAGACAGACUCAAAAUCUGUUAUCCUUUUGGGUGUGAGGGUUCAAGUCCCUCCGCCGGCA
rnacentral:tRNA from 1 species